GACGUAGGGUGCAAGCGUUGUCCGGAAUUAUUGGGCGUAAAGAGCUCGUAGGCGGUUUGUCGCGUCUGCUGUGAAAACCCGAGGCUCAACCUCGGGCCUGCAGUGGGUACGGGCAGACUAGAGUGCGGUAGGGGAGAUUGGAAUUCCUGGUGUAGCGGUGGAAUGCGCAGAUAUCAGGAGGAACACCAAUAGCGAAGGCAGCUCGCUGGGACGGUACUGACGCUAAGGCGCGAAAGCGUGGGGAGCGAACAGG
rnacentral:rRNA from 1 species